GGAAGGUCGGAACAACGGGAACGGAGAUUGCGGCGGCGGGGUGUCCGGCGCGGAUUCGGCGACCGGCUUUCCUAACGGGGAAGAAGACCCUGACGCGUGGGUCCCACGCGUGCAGCGGGCGGACCGGGCUGGCUGGGCCGGCUCGCUCGGUUCGGCGCGGUCGGUUCUGGGCCGGUUCGGCCCAAGCGUUUGGACCGGUCCGGUUUUCCCUUUUUUUUUCUUUUCUUUUUCCCUUUUUCUUAUUUCUUUGUUAACUUUUGAUUUUGAACUCCAAAUUGGUCCAAAUAAAUUCCAGAAAAUUUGUAAAAUCAUGUUCUAUCAUGAUUCAACUUUUGGGAAUAAUUUACCCUCAAAAUAAAAUAUAUAAAAAUACAUUUGCCCUAUAAAUGCCGUUAGGGCUAUAUAACUAUUUAAAUAAAAUAGUUUUUCCACUCCAAAAAUUAUCCAAAAAUUAUGGGAUAGCUUAUAUAUAUGCAAUAAACCCCUUUUAUAAAUAAACCCUAUUGGUUUGAAGAUCCAAAGCUCAAAUGUGUGUAAACCCUAGGGUUUAAAUUGAAAUAAAAACUUUUAAAAGCCUUUUGAGACUCAAAUUUGAAUUCAAAUAUGCAAUUCGGGCAUGAUGCUCAUGGAUGCAAUGCAUAUGAAAGAAUUUGAAAUUUUGGGAUGUUACAUCGACGGGCGGGCGGCGUGAUGUGUAACAGCGUUGGUUGCGGGCUCCGGAGGACGAGCCCGCCUCGUGGUCAUGGCGCCUCGCCGGCGGCCAUUGCCUCUUGGGCGCCAUCGCUUGGGGGGCGAGCUCGGCGGUGGUCGGCGGUGGCUAAGGUUUUGGGAGGAGGUGAGUGGGUGUGUGUGGGGAUG
rnacentral:lncRNA from 1 species